rnacentral:sRNA from 1 species
GCCGGGCACAGCGAUGCAUGCCUGUAAUCUCAGCGGCUUGGGAGGCUGAGGCAGGAGGACUGCAAGUUCAAAGCUAGCAUCAGCAAAAGCAAGGUGCUAUGCAACUAACUGAGACCCUGUCUCUA